rnacentral:lncRNA from 1 species
ACGUAAUAAACGUUCCUCCAAGAGGCUCAGUCGGUUGAGAAAUGGGGUCAGCUUAGCCUUGUUGAUACAGAGAUAAAAGAAGUAGGUGGUAAAGAAUGACCAGCAUGAGCUGGGCGUGGUGGCGCACGCCUUUAAUCCCAGCACUCGGGAGGCAGAGGCAGGCGGAUUUCUGAGUUCGAGGCCAGCCUGGUCUACAAAGUGAGCUCCAGGACAGCCAGGGCUAUACAGAGAAACCCUGUCUCGAAAAAACAAAACAAAACAAAACAAAAAAAAGAAUGACCAGCAUGAAGGAGAAGGAGAUCUAUAAAUCAUUGAAAGCUUAUAAAGUGAAAGGCCGCCUUGUUGAAUUUCUUUCAAAUGACUUUCAUAUCUCCUAGAAACAUGUAAGGCGUGGGCACUCUGUUCCCCCUUAUUCUCUUCAUUGUGACCAGUUAUGGAUCUCCGUAAUAGUCUCCAUCAAUUGCAAAAUGAAGCUUCCUUGAGGAUACAUGAUAGCCACGUUAAUCUAUGGAUGUACGUCUUGCAUGGCACCUUCGGAAUUGAGGCGAGCUGAUUCUCAGGGAGGAGGCUUCCAGUUCAAUUCUUCCAAGUCCCCUGCCUGAACUUUGGACAGGAGCUCCUUUGGAUAAGCAUUAGGAAGACAGCCGACUUGUGUGGAAGGCACUGAAGAGCCUUAGCCCCGGGAAAAUAUUCAAUGAAUGUCGGAAAGGGAAGAUCCAUUCAGCGCAGCAAGAUGUGGAUGUCCAGGCAGAGGAGAAGGGUGGCAACCGGGAAACAUGCACACAGCUCUAUCCUCCACUUCCUGCUAACCCAGAGCCAUGAAUGUAUCCUGUGGACAAUGACAAAAAUCUUUGUCUUUUUCUCCAACCUUACACGUCUACAACAGAAUGCAUUUACAUUACAGAUGCACACGAUGUUAUCUAUUCUACUCUAAUAUUUACCAGAUGGCAUCAGUACACUAGAUUCUUUAACAUUAGGAGCAGUCUUUCCACAAACAUAUGUGAGAGUGAGAUUUACUAUUGCUAGAGCGAUUUCUAAAAGCAUUAAUUUAAAUAAGCAAGCCAACAAAUAAACCCAAGGAAUUUGACAGAACCUUUGCCCAAAGUUAGGAUUAUGACAAUGAUAAUCAUUUUUAAACGGGUACAUUGUGGGGCCAGAGCAUCCAGAGCAGUUAUAUUCUGGUCUUGCACAAUACAGCUGUGAUGCAUAAUAAGACUCUGGAAACAUCUGCUUCUCUCUGAUACAUGGCUGGAAAACCAUAGCAGGGGAUGUUGCAAAGCGGGGUGACCAUAUUGGAUGUGCUAAUUGCUGCUUCAUAUGCUGAAUUCCAAUUAUCUUGGCAAUUAAGACAGAAAUAUUUGCUGAGUAAACACCAAGCAGAAUUUCCCUCCAUCACAGGUUGAGAGUACAUCCUAACAUCUAUUUAACAUGCUAUCUCGGUGAAUGUUUUGGGAAGGUGGGGGAGGGGUGCUGAAAGCAAUCUUAUUUACUAUAUGUAGAUACACUAUGCACAAAUCAAUGAGGUGCUUAGCUCUAUAAGUCAAUAACUAUAUUGAAGAUAUUGAAAAUAAGCAAUUUUUUUCCUUCCUGCAGAUGAGCUCACCGUGUAGUCAAUUUUGAAUAGACUUACUGGAUUCUUCGUAAAUAAAAAAAUUUUAAAAA